rnacentral:rRNA from 1 species
UACGGAGGGAGCUAGCGUUGUUCGGAAUUACUGGGCGUAAAGCGCACGUAGGCGGCUUUUUAAGUCAGGGGUGAAAUCCCGGGGCUCAACCCCGGAACUGCCCUUGAAACUGGAGAGCUAGAAUCUUGGAGAGGCGAGUGGAAUUCCGAGUGUAGAGGUGAAAUUCGUAGAUAUUCGGAAGAACGCCAGUGGCGAAGGCGGCUCACUGGUCCGGUACUGACGCUGAGGUGCGAAAGCGUGGGGAGCAAACAGG